AGGGGGACACUUAUUCACCCCUCUCCAUUCUUACCAUCAUCGGAUGGUAAGAAUGGAGAGGGGUGAAUAAGUGUCCCCCU
rnacentral:pre_miRNA from 1 species